rnacentral:rRNA from 1 species
UACGUAGGGUGCGAGCGUUAAUCGGAAUUACUGGGCGUAAAGCGUGCGCAGGCGGUUCGUUAAGUUCGUUGUGAAAGCCCCGGGCUCAACCUGCGAACUGCAAUGGAAACUGGCGGGCUUGAGUGUGGCAGAGGGGGGUGGAAUUCCGCGUGUAGCAGUGAAAUGCGUAGAGAUGCGGAGGAACACCGAUGGCGAAGGCAGCCCCCUGGGCCAACACUGACGCUCAGGCACGAAAGCGUGGGGAGCAAACAGG